GGAACGCUGAGAGGCUUUCCUGGUUCAGGGAAGCGCGGUUACCUGAGCGCAGUGAUCGCAGCGCAAGCUUCUCGUAAAAGAUAGCUGCCAGGGAGUCUCCAGGUGUCUUUCUUGACGGGGUAGCUGGCCAAAGGUAUAACUUCAUUUGGAGACAGCAUUAAAAUUGUAAAUGUAGGAUCUGUUUGUGAUGAGACCCAGACCAGUGUUUUUCCUGAGUCCCUGAACCAGGUGUUCCUUUGGCAAGGUAGCCUGUUCUCAGCUUUAAAGGAGUUCCAGGAAGGUACAGAAAGCUCCUUACACCAAGAUGUCCAUCACUGUGAAACAUCAGAAGUAACCAGCAAUAAAUCAACAUGGGAGGGAUUAAAGAAAUAAUGAUUCACUCAUUCCAAGGAAAAUUGCAGCCAUUAAUAUAAUGACAAUUAUGUGUCAAUGCUUUGAAGUUACACUAAAUCAAGAAAGCUUAUGAAAUAGUACUCUGAUUGGGAAUCCAGCUAUGUCAAGAAGCAUGUACACAAAGAACGAAAAAAUCCUAAUCAUCUCCUGAGUGCUAGGCUUUCUACUGAGUCUUAAGGAUACACAAAUGAAUCACAUGUGGUCCUGAUAUGGCUCUCUGUUAUGAUACCUGCACCCAGUGCUGUGCAGUUAAAUGUUUAAUAGCUGCCUGUCGGUUGUGGGUGGGGGAAAACAUUUUAUAUUUUUGCCAGUUUCUGUGGUAUAUGCAUUUCCACCAUGGCUGAUUUCACACCACCAAUGGAAUUACACCAAAGAGGGAAUUGGGAAGAGAUGUAAACAAGUGUCUCUUCAGAGUCAGUGCAAGCUGGCUCCAGUAUAUCCCUGGAGCCUUCCACCACCUAAUGUUUAACAGUUGGGAAGUGGUUCUUAAAUACACAGGAAUUUAUUCAGAGAAUGGAAUGCUAAUCAGUCAUGAGAAGAUCGUACGUUAGAAUAAUUGAUCAAAUUUGAAAAAGUUCAGGGUUUAUUUUCCAGCUUAAAAAACAAGUAGGUGUGAGUGAGCUCAGUGAAAAUGGCAGUGUAAGGAUUCCAAAAAUUCUCUCCUCCAUAAAAUUACCCAGAAGACUGGCAAAAGUCAACAGAGUCAACUUUUUGAGAAGUGUAAAAAUUAGCCAAAAGCUUGAAACAAACUGGAGAACAUUUAUUCAAGAAUAAAGGUGAAUGUCAGUAAGAACAGUGAGUUUUGUGACAUUUUAACUUGCCCUAGACCCAUUUCCACAGUAGCCUUCAAAAAUUCCUGAUGGAGCAUGUCAGCUACCAAAAGAAGAAUGGAGCUGGAACUCUUUCAAAGAUGCAUUCCCAACUGACUGUAAUUAUUUGACCUGUCUGGUGCUUCCUGAAAGACCUCAGUUGCAAGGCUGUUUGUAUUUGGCCUGACUUGGAGCUCACUCAGUGUGAAGACUUCUCUCUAGGUGACAUUUUUUAGAAAAAAACAAUUGCAGGCAAGUGUUUUAAUUUUGUGACUGCUAGAGGCAACAGAUAAGAGUUGGGUCAAACAAUAGACUAAAAAAAAAAAAAGCUUAACAGGAAAAGUUAAGGAAUAGAUGUCCAUAGAGACUUUGAAAACUUUGACAUAUUCCAGGAAAUCUAGAAGGUCAGGCACGUGCGUAGGUCUGUGUGCCCAGGGAUGCGAAGGAAUUGAGCAGACCCUAAGCUCUCACCUUUGGUUGACCUUGAAGCACUGCACAUGCAGGAAGUGACGGCUAAGGUGGAGUUGUAAACUGCCAGCCUGCACAUUGAAAGCAUGUCCUAACACACAUUUAGAGCCCCUUGGCAAAGACUGGGAGAUUUAUUGUUUCCAGGCAUUUAAACAAAUCUCUGUUGCAUCAGUAGCUGACUGCUAAGCUAACUGAGCAGGGACUUCGGUGACAUCACAUGACAAAGAAUACAGACUUUACAGAAUUAGUUCAGGAUAGUAACUUAACAAACAAACAACUACUGCAACAAGCAGUAAUGACGACAGCCCUUGGGGAGAGAGAAAAUCUGAGGUCUAGAGUUGCACAUUCAGUUAUUUAAAAUGUCCAGUUUUCAACCAAAAAAUAUAAGAACACUUCCAAACUCAUUCUAUGAGGCCAGUAUUACCCUGACAUCAAAACCAGACAAAAACAUCAUGAGAAGAGAAAACUACAGACCAAUGUCUUUUGUAAUUGUGUAUGUAGAAAUUCUCAACAAAAUACUAGCAAACUGAAUCCAGUAGCAUAUAAAAGAGAUUAUACACCAUGACCAAUGAAGAUUUAUCCAAGGAAUGAAAAGUUGGUUCAACAUAUGAAAAUCAAUUAAUGUAAUACACCACAUUAAUAGAAUAAA